rnacentral:rRNA from 1 species
GAUGAACGCUGGCGGCGUGCCUAAUACAUGCAAGUCGAGCGAAUGGAUUGAGAGCUCGCUCUUAUGAAGUUAGCGGCGGACGGGUGAGUAACACGUGGGUAACCUGCCCAUAAGACUGGGAUAACUCCGGGAAACCGGGGCUAAUACCGGAUAACAUUUUGAACCGCAUGGUUCGAAAUUGAAAGGCGGCUUCGGCUGUCACUUAUGGAUGGACCCGCGUCGCAUUAGCUAGUUGGUGAGGUAACGGCUCACCAAGGCAACGAUGCGUAGCCGACCUGAGAGGGUGAUCGGCAACACUGGGACUGAGACACGGCCCAGACUCCUACGGGAGGCAGCAGUAGGGAAUCUUCCGCAAUGGACGAAAGUCUGACGGAGCAACGCUGCGUGAGUGAUGAAGGCUUUCGGGUCGUAAAACUCUGUUGUUAGGGAAGAACAAGUGCUAGUUGAAUAAGCUGGCACCUUGACGGUACCUAACCAGAAAGCCACGGCUAACUACGUGCCAGCCGCCGCAGUAA